GACGUAGGAGGCGAGCGUUGUCCGGAUUCAUUGGGCGUAAAGAGCGCGCAGGCGGCUUGGUAAGUCGGAUGUGAAAUCCCGAGGCUCAACCUCGGGUCUGCAUCCGAUACUGCCCGGCUAGAGGUAGGUAGGGGAGAUCGGAAUUCCUGGUGUAGCGGUGAAAUGCGCAGACUAUCAGGAGGAACACCGGUGGCGAAGGCGGAUCUCUGGGCCUUACCUGAUGCUCGAGGCGCGAAAGCUAGGGGAGCGAACUGG
rnacentral:rRNA from 1 species